UACGGGGGGGGGAAGCGUUGUUCGGAAUUACUGGGCGUAAAGGGCUCGUAGGCGGCCAACUAAGUCGGACGUGAAAUCCCUCAGCUUAACUGGGGAACUGCGUCCGAUACUGGAUGGCUUGGAUUUGGGAGAGGGAUGCGGAAUUCCAGGUGUAGCGGUGAAAUGCGUAGAUAUCCGGAAGAACACCGGUGGCGAAGGCGGCCUGCUGGGCAGUGGCUGACGCUGAGGCGCGACAGCGUGGGGAGCAAACAGG
rnacentral:rRNA from 1 species